rnacentral:rRNA from 1 species
AACGAACGCUGGCGGAAUGCUUAACACAUGCAAGUCGAACGCAUCGCAAGGUGAGCGGCGGACGGGUUAGUAACGCGUGGGAACGUGCCCUUUUCUUCGGAAUAGCUUCGGGAAACUGAAGGUAAUACCGGAUACGCCCUUAGGGGGAAAGAUUUAUCGGGGAAGGAUCGGCCCGCGUCUGAUUAGGUAGUUGGUGGGGUAAUGGCCUACCAAGCCGACGAUCAGUAGCUGGUUUGAGAGGAUGAUCAGCAACACUGGGACUGAGACACGGCCCAGACUCCUACGGGAGGCAGCAGUGGGGAAUCUUAGACAAUGGGCGCAAGCCUGAUCUAGCCAUGCCGCGUGGAUGAUGAAGGCCUUAGGGUCGUAAAGUCCUUUCGCUGGGGAAGAUAAUGACGGUACCCAGUAAAGAAACCCCGGCUAACUCCGUGCCAGCCGCCGCCGUAA